AUGAACGGCAGGGUGACCCUGGAUCAGGGUUGGGCCACCUUCGCCGCCGUUCAUCAGAUCAAGAUUGGCUACAUGGUGACGUUCAAGCUCCUGACUCCCGACACCCUUGAGGUCAUCAUCUUCGACGACGAUGGCAUUGAGGUGGUCAACAAGUGCGGGAAGAACGACAAAGCCUUUGCCGCCAGGGACUAG
rnacentral:rRNA from 1 species